AUAAUAAUAACCUAGACUGUUACAUUUAACGAACAAUAAUAUCCCUUGUAAAUUCCCUUUGUUUCAAAUGGCUUUCUUUUUAUUCACUUAAAAUAAUGAAAUGGAACUGAAUAUCAUUCAAUAAAACAAGUUCAAUCAUCUCAAAGAUAACACUUUUAACCUGAAGGGACAAAUUGCUCAAAAGUUUUGAACGAGCCUACAAGUACAACUAAGGCCAGUGUGAAAUUUUACCGAUGGGCAAAACGGGCAUUUCCACCAGAAACCAAGCAGUAACACACCUGAUUCUGCUAAUCAAUCAGUAGAGUCGUUGCUAAGCACCUUGAUUAGUACAAUCAGGUGUGUUACUGCUUGGUUGAAACAAACGCCGACACGAACACUAGCCCUUUCUGGAUAAGUUUGGGGACCCCUGCUCUGAAAGCACCUAAUCAAGAAAAAUUAACAACUUUUUAAAAUCCUGGUAUUGCAAUUGUGGUUGGAACGCAAACCAGCAUACACAGGAGUCCCCAUAUGAGAGUUUGAGAGCCACUGGUGUAAACUAUUAAUCGGAAAAAGACCAGAAGCGCACUUCCAAACACUGCAACAGCACCAGGUCUGACGCCCUUCAUGGCCGUUUUAAGCAUCCGGAUGCCCGUCUCGUCCCGGGUGUUGACGGAGACCAUCUCCUCCCCGCUGGCCGAAAUGUACACCUGCCCGUCCGUCAGGCAGCCCGACACGCUGCACAGCAGGAGCUUGAUGGCCUCCAGCUUCUCCAUGCCGAAGUAGCCGUACCUGCGGGACGAAACGGCAGAGCCAAACAGUCAGGACAACUGAAUAUCUGACCAGGAUGAAAUGAUUUUGCACACUUGAGGGGCCGUGAGCAUUUGGGCUACCUGAGGACCCUCUGCUCUGCGACGGGCCAGUCGAUGUCCACGUCGAUGUCCACGCUGUACUCUGGGAGCAUUUCAUAGUAGGCCAUCUUUCCACCCUGCAGAAAAGGCACAACAGGUAUUACAAACCCACCCGGAAAAGGGGAGUUUAAUCACAUUAAACCCCCCAAAAACAGGGAGCUUAAUCACAUGAAGCCCUCAAAAAAAGGGGAGUUUAAUCACAAAGACUGUGUUUGACCACAAGCUGCACUGACAACAAAGCGAUAGCAACAGAUAAGGCGUAGCGCAGGCCGCCAGCGCUAUCUGAGCGGCCUUCCGCGCGGCCCGCGUUGUGGCCCACAUUAGCUCACGGUCACGCCGCACUUUGCCAAACAGAGCCGCGCCGCUGCGGACACGGCCGUCUGGCAGGCGGCCGACGUGACGCCCGA